rnacentral:rRNA from 1 species
UACAGAGGGUGCGAGCGUUAAUCGGAAUUACUGGGCGUAAAGGGCGCGUAGGUGGUUUGUUAAGUUAGAUGUGAAAUCCCUGGGCUUAACCUAGGAACUGCAUCUAAGACUGAAAGACUAGAGUACUGUAGAGGGUAGUGGAAUUUCCGGUGUAGCGGUGAAAUGCGUAGAGAUCGGAAGGAACACCAGUGGCGAAGGCGGCGCUCUGGACCGAGACUGACGCUGAGGCGCGAAAGCGUGGGGAGCAAACAGG